AUGGCGAGAGGUCAGGACACAGAGCCUCAAGACCGCUUCACAACCGAAGCAAACAACUCGAAGCACAACCAAACUCAAGGAAAGUUGCGAGUGGACAGCAGGACCCGACUGGACCUGAGGAGAGCAUCGUCAAAGAGAUGCCGCAUCAGUGUACAUUGCGCCCUAGGGGCCCACGCUCCAAAUGGAGGCCAAUCCUAG
rnacentral:rRNA from 1 species